UACGGGGGGAGCAAGCGUUGUUCGGAUUUACUGGGCGUAAAGGGCGCGUAGGCGGCCACCGCAAGUCGACUGUGAAAUCUCCGGGCUUAACCCGGAAAGGUCAGCCGAUACUGCGGGGCUAGAGUGCAGAAGGGGCAACUGGAAUUCUCGGUGUAGCGGUGAAAUGCGUAGAUAUCUGGAGGAAUACCGGUGGCGAAGGCGGCAUCCUGGACCGACAUUGACGCUGAACGGCGAAAGCUAGGGGAGCAAACGGG
rnacentral:rRNA from 1 species